GGCUGGUGGAGGCAGCGGACUUCAAAGCAG
rnacentral:tRNA from 1 species